rnacentral:rRNA from 1 species
UACCGCAAACCGACACUGGUGCGCGAGAUGAGUAUUCUAAGGCGCUUGAGAGAACUCGGGAGAAGGAACUCGGCAAAUUGACACCGUAACUUCGGAAGAAGGUGUGCCUUUAGUAGGUGAAGUCCCUCGCGGAUGGAGCCCAAUGAGGUUGCAAAAAAUCGGUGGCUGCGACUGUUUAUUAAAAACACAGCACUCUGCAAACACGAAAGUGGACGUAUAGGGUGUGACGCCUGCCCGGUGCUGGAAGAUUAAAUGAUGGGGUGCAAGCUCUUGAUUGAAGUCCCAGUAAACGGCGGCCGUAACAAUAACGGUCCUAAGGUAGCGAAAUUCCUUGUCGGGUAAGUUCCGACCUGCACGAAUGGCGUAACGAUGGCCACACUGUCUCCUCCCGAGACUCAGCGAAGUUGAAAUGUUUGUGAUGAUGCAAUCUCCCCGCGGAAAGACGGAAAGACCCCAUGAACCUUUACUGUAGCUUUGUAUUGGACUUUGAACAGAUCUGUGUAGGAUAGGUGGGAGGCUUUGAAGUGAGGAUGCUAGUUCUCAUGGAGCCAACGUUGAAAUACCACCCUGGUGUGUUUGAGGUUCUAACCUAGGUCCAUUAUCUGGAUCGGGGACAGUGCAUGGUAGGCAGUUUGACUGGGGCGGUCUCCUCCCAAAGUGUAACGGAGGAGUUCGAAGGUACGCUAGUUACGGUCGGACAUCGUGACGAUAGUGCAAUGGCAUAAGCGUGCUUAACUGCGAGACUGACAAGUCGAGCAGAUGCGAAAGCAGGACAUAGUGAUCCGGUGGUUCUGUAUGGAAGGGCCAUCGCUCAACGGAUAAAAGGUACUCUGGGGAUAACAGGCUGAUACCGCCUAAGAGUUCAUAUCGACGGCGGUGUUUGGCACCUCGAUGUCGGCUCAUCUCAUCCUGGGGCUGUAGCCGGUCCCAAGGGUAUGGCUGUUCGCCAUUUAAAGAGGUACGUGAGCUGGGUUUAAAACGUCGUGAGACAGUUUGGUCCCUAUCUUCCGUGGGCGCUGCAGAUUUGAGGAAGCCUGCUCCUAGUACGAGAGGACCGGAGUGGACACACCUCUGGUGUAUCGGUUGUCACGCCAGUGGCAUUGCCGAGUAGCUAAGUGUGGAAGAGAUAACCGCUGAAAGCAUCUAAGCGGGAAACUCGUUUCAAGAUGAGAUCUGCCGGGGCCUUGAGCCCCCUGAAGAGUCGUUCAAGACCAGGACGUUGAUAGGUCGGGUGUGGAAGCGCAGUAAUGCGUUAAGCUAACCGAUACUAAUUGCUCGUGCGGCUUGACCCC